UAGGGAAUCUUCCGCAAUGGGCGAAAGCCUGACGGAGCAACGCCGCGUGAGUGAUGAAGGUCUUCGGAUCGUAAAACUCUGUUAUUAGGGAAGAACAAAUGUGUAAGUAACUAUGCACGUCUUGACGGUACCUAAUCAGAAAGCCACGGCUAACUACGUUCCAGCAGCCGCGGUAAUACGUAGGUGGCAAGCGUUAGCCGGAAUUAUUGGGCGUAAAGCGCGCGUAGGCGGUUUUUUAAGUCAGAUGUGAAAGCCCACGGCUCAACCAUGGAGGGUCAUUGGAACCUGGAAAACUUGAGUGCAGAAGAGGAAAGUGGAAUUCCAUGUGUAGCGGUAAAAUGCGCAGAGAUAUGGGGGAACACCAGUGGCGAAGGCGACUUUCUGGUCUGUAACUGACGCUGAUGUGCGAAAGCGUGGGGAUCAAACAGG
rnacentral:rRNA from 1 species